rnacentral:misc_RNA from 1 species
CAUACAUACUUACACAUCCAGGAAUUCCAACAGUUUUCUAUGACCAUGUUUAUGACUUGGGUGACUCCAUUCAUGACCAAAUUGUGAAACUGAAUUGACAUUAGAAAACGCCAAGACAUCCAUAGUCGAUCAUCUAUCAGGAUUCUUGAAGCCCAGCCAAACCUCUAUUCCGCAAUUAUUGGGGAGAAAGUAUGCAUGAAAAUUGGGGAUGGUUCCUGGUGCCCAGCUGGCAGGGAAUGGACACUGGCAACCUCCGGCCAUAGAUAUGCUGUGUGGCAAAAUUGAUCCCCUUCAUAAUUGGUCCCCAGCGUUGCUAAUCUACUUCUGGGUAGUUUGGUAGUUCAUGCCCUACAGCUACAUACUAGGAUAGUAUAGCUAUUACACGAAUAAUUUUGCUCCAAGAUCACAAUCUUGUCUGUUUUUAUCACUAAAUCAAGGCUCCAUUGGCUUCCAUUUGAGGCUUACUUGGAAGUUUCAUGUUCCCUGCCAUUGAGGACAGGGUAGGGGGUUCAGUGUGAUCCUCCUGACUAGUGGAUAGUGGAUGUGAAAUGUGAUUUAAAGUUCUUGAA